GCCACUGGACAAUGAAAGCAUAUUCAAUAGGGACAGGAAUUUGCCCUGCUGCAGGUUCAGACAAAAGGCCACCGACGACCCCUCACGGCCCCUCAAAGAGUUGUUGCAAUAGUUCUUAACCUGCAGAGAUCAUGGCACUUUCUUUCUAUAUGAGGUUUCCGAUCAAAAGUGACCAAUCCCACAGUCACAUUUGUUGAAAAUUACAUCCCGCA
rnacentral:lncRNA from 1 species